AUGCUCUCUUUGGCAGUACAUAUGCUAAAAUUGGAAUGAUACAGAGAAGAUUAGCAUGGCCCCUGCACAAAUAUGACAUGCAGAUUCAUGAAGCCUUCCAUAUUUUU
rnacentral:snRNA from 1 species